AUGGAGGGUGUUACAGUGUUGAUUGUUGGUGCUGGGCCAGCAGGCCUCGCAACGGCAGCAUGCCUUAGCCAAUUCUCAAUUCCUUAUGCCAUCGUCGAGCGCGAGAGCUGUAGCGCGUCACUCUGGCGCAACCGUGCGUAUGAUCGUCUAAAGCUGCAUCUCGCAAAGGAGUUCUGUGAGUUGCCACACAUGUCAUACCCUGUAGAUGCACCAACAUACAUACCAAAAACCUUGUUUGUGAAGUACUUGGAUCACUAUGUUGAGCGUUUCAACAUUCAACCAAAGUAUCUCACCAGCGUGGAGUCAUCCACAUAUGACAAUGAUGAAAAAUGUUGGUCCAUUGUGAUUCAUGUAAUGACAAAGGAAUUAAUUCGUUUGGGGAUGACACUUGCUCACCGUCUUCCAUUGAAUCUAGUGGAUAAACUCCUUGUGAUGGCAGCGUAUUUAAUAUUUGGAGACCUGUCACAGCAUGGCAUCACAAGGCCAAAAAUGGGUCCAAUGACCCUCAAAUCAGAAACAGGCCGAUCUGCAGUAAUUGAUGUUGGGACUGUUGGAUUGAUCAAAAAAGGCAUCAUCAAAGUUCAAGGGAGCAUUAGUAAGAUCAAGGGCAACAUAGUUAAAUUUCAAUGCAGUAAAAGAAUGUCAUUUGAUGCAAUUGUGUUUGCAACUGGAUACAAAAGCACGGCAAAUAUGUGGCUCAAGGAUGGUGAGAGCAUGUUAAAUGGCAACGGACUGCCCAUCCAAAAAUAUCCGAAUCAUUGGAAAGGUGAAAAUGGGCUCUACUGUGCUGGGUUGGUGAGGAGAGGAUUAGCUGGUAUUGCAACAGACGCCAAGAAUAUCGCUAAUGACAUCAAAUCUGUGAUGGACUCUAUGUCAAGUUAA
rnacentral:rRNA from 1 species